AUGAAUUCCUCCCUGCUGGGCUCAGGUGAGACACUUUUCUCAGCAUUUUAUAUACAUCCCCCCACUUUGAUUUUUAUCGAAACUCGGUGGGGGUGGGGGUGGGGCGGGACGGGGGAUGGUCGGGGCGGCAUUCUACAGAAAAGAAAAUGUGUGCUGGGAGGGGUGGCCUGGCUUGCACCCGCCCCACCUCGACCUCAGGCUGCCAGAUCCUUGCGCGUUAGCCCGAGACUCGCCCAGGUCUUCCAGCCCGGCCUGGAGGACCAGAGCCCCGAAAGCCCCAGUAGUGCCGCAUCUCAAGCCCUCCCAACCCCGCGGCAGGAACCCCCAGCCGGGCCUGCCAGCGUCCAACGGCCGCCUGGCGUCCCGCCCGCGCGGUCCGCAAGGAGGAGCCCGCGAGGCGACCGCGAAAGGAGCUGCGCUUACCUCGCCGGGUGCGGGCUGAGGCUCCGGCUCACCCGCUCCAGGCUGGGCACCCCGCACGGUGCGCCCCUCGCCCCGACGGCUGCCGCGCAGGCUCUGGACACUGCCACUUUCAUUUUCCUCAACGCUCUCGGCAAGAAAGCGAAAGCGAAAACGGCCGAGAGGCGGGCCCGAGUGCGCGGAGAACGCGGGGCGCGGGCCGGCAGCCAGAGGCUGGGGCUCCAGGCCUCGGGUCUGCGCUCGGCGGUCCCGGCGGCGUCCCGGCUGGAGCCGCGUCCACCUGAGACGCUAAGCCAGCCCUUGGCGCACGUCGCGGCGGCGCAGCGUUCCCUCGCCCGCUACGAGGCCCGCGGCGCCUCGGUCCCGUGGCGCCGUUUCCCUCAUCUGCCUUUCGUUUCAGCGCCCGCCGGGGCCUCGCGGCUGCAGGCCGGCCCGAAACCUGACUGCCCGCGGCGCUUCGUGGGUUUCUGGCCUGAGCAGGCGGGUGCCGGCCUCGGUGGCCGGGAGCCUGUCACUGAGGGGUCCCCGUUGGAGGCGCUGAGGGAACUGGAGCGGGUUUCGCUCGCAGACCCCAGGGGUCCGGCGCUCCCCAGCCCAGACAUGCGCACUGGUCCCUCGGCUGAGCUGGGGGCACCAGCAAGGCUACAGCCGGGUCCUGACCGUGAGGUACCAGGCUCUUCAUCCUGGGUCAGCGGAGAACUAAAAGUCAGUGAUGCCUGUGAGAUGAGGAACGCUUCGUUUGAUAAGGAAAACUGA
rnacentral:lncRNA from 1 species